rnacentral:rRNA from 1 species
GACGAACGCUGGCGGCGUGCUUAACACAUGCAAGUCGAGGGCUCCACUGCCUUUCGGGGUGGUGGGGACCGGCGAACGGGUGCGUAACACGUGAGCAACCGGCCGAUCCGCGGGGGAUAGCCGGCCCAACGGCCGGGUAAUACCGCAUACGCUCUGGGGUUCUCAUGGACCCCCGAGGAAACUUCCGGGGCGGAUCGAGGGGCUCGCGGCCUAUCAGCUAGUUGGCGGUGUCACGGACCACCAAGGCGACGACGGGAGCUGGUCUGAGAGGAUGGCCAGCCACAUUGGGACUGAGAGACGGCCCAGACUCCUACGGGAGGCAGUAGUGGGGAAUCUUGCGCAAUGGCCGCAAGGCUGACGCAGCGACGCCGCGUGCGGGACGACGCCUCGGU